UGCACUUAGUGGCGGACGGGUGAGUAACGCGUGGGUACCUGCCUCACACUGGGGGAUAACAGUUAGAAAUAGCUGCUAAUACCGCAUAAGUCCGCAUGGAAAAAACUCCGGUGGUGUGAGAUGGACCCGCGUCUGAUUAGCCAGUUGGCGGGGUAACGGCCCACCAAAGCGACGAUCAGUAGCCGGCCUGAGAGGGUGAACGGCCACAUUGGGACUGAGACACGGCCCAAACUCCUACGGGAGGCAGCAGUGGGGAAUAUUGCACAAUGGGGGAAACCCUGAUGCAGCGACGCCGCGUGAGUGAAGAAGUAUUUCGGUAUGUAAAGCUCUAUCAGCAGGGAAGAAAUGACGGUACCUGACUAAGAAGCACCGGCUAAAUACGUGCCAGCAGCCGCGGUAAUACGUAUGGUGCAAGCGUUAUCCGGAUUUACUGGGUGUAAAGGGAGCGUAGACGGAUGGGCAAGUCUGAUGUGAAAACCCGGGGCUCAACCCCGGGACUGCAUUGGAAACUGUUCAUCUAGAGUGCUGGAGAGGUAAGUGGAAUUCCUAGUGUAACGGUGAAAUGCGUAGAUAUUAGGAGGAACACCAGUGGCGAAGGCGGCUUACUGGACAGUAACUG
rnacentral:rRNA from 1 species